rnacentral:lncRNA from 1 species
CAGAGACAGCAAAGAGCAGGACCCCCUGAGAUGCCUCCCCCAUGGCCUUCUGACUUGGGGAAACUUUUCACCCUCCUCCUUCCCCUGGCCACAGACCAGGUCACAGCUCUGCCUGGGCCCUUGUUCCGGGGAUGAGAAGGAGGCUGGUUUCCAGGUGGGCGCCAGGAGCUCCCAUCCUCAGUGUCCACUCCGGGCCCUGCUGGCCGUGACCGGUGCAGAGCCAGGCUGUGAGGCCCUGGACUGGUUAGUGACGGCCCUGCCUGCCUCCUAGACAGUCCUCUGCUCUGUGGCUCCCCCAUCCUGUCCCUGCCCCAUCUCUGCCUGGGCCGCCUCCAUCAGGAGCCCUAUCGUCCGUGUCCCUUUGC